rnacentral:rRNA from 1 species
GACGAACGCUGGCGGCGUGCUUAACACAUGCAAGUCGAACGGAAAGGCCCUGCUUUUGUGGGGUGCUCGAGUGGCGAACGGGUGAGUACCACGUGAGUACCCUGCCCUUGCCUUUGGGAUAACUUCAGGAAACUGGGGCUAAUACCGGAUAGGAGCUCCUGCUGCAUGGUGGGGGUUGGAAAGUUUCGGCGGUUGGGGAUGGACUCGCGGCUUAUCAGCUUGUUGGUGGGGUAGCGGCUUACCAAGGCUUUGACGGGUAGCCGGCCUGAGAGGGUGACCGGCCACAGUGGGACUGAGAUACGGCCCAGACUCCUACGGGAGGCAGCAGUGGGGAAUAUUGCACGAUGGGCGGAAGCCUGAUGCAGCAACGCCGCGUGCGGGAUGACGGCCGUCGGGUUGUAAACCGCUUGCGCCUGUGACGAAGCGUGAGUGACGGUAAUGGGUAAAGAAGCACCGGCUAACUACGUG